GCCAAGCGUUAGGCGGAAUCACUGGGCUUAAAGCGCGUGUAGGUGGACGGGUAAGUCUCUUGUGAAAUCCCACGGCUCAACCGUGGAACUGCUGGAUAUACUGCUUGUCUUGAGGCACUUAGGGGCAGCUGGAACAAAUGGUGGAGCGGUGAAAUGCGUAGAUAUCAUUUGGAACGCCAAAGGCGAAAGCAGGCUGCUGGGAGUGAUCUGACACUGAGACGCGAAAGCCAGGGGAGCAAACGGG
rnacentral:rRNA from 1 species